UACGGAGGGGACUAGCGUUGUUCGGAAUUACUGGGCGUAAAGCGCACGUAGGCGGAUUUGUAAGUCAGGGGUGAAAUCCCGGGGCUCAACCUCGGAACUGCCUUUGAUACUGCAAAUCUCGAGUCCGGAAGAGGUGAGUGGAAUUCCUAGUGUAGAGGUGAAAAUUCGUAGAUAUUAGGAAGAACACCAGUGGCGAAGGCGGCUCACUGGUCCGGUACUGACGCUGAGGUGCGAAAGCGUGGGGAGCAAACAGG
rnacentral:rRNA from 1 species